AUUGAACGCUGGCGGCAGGCCUAACACAUGCAAGUCGAACGGUAACAGGAAGAAGCUUGCUUCUUUGCUGACGAGUGGCGGACGGGUGUGUAAUGUCUGGGAAACUGCCUGAUGGAGGGGGAUAACUACUGGAAACGGUAGCUAAUACCGCAUAAUGUCGCAAGACCAAAGAGGGGGACCUUCGGGCCUCUUGCCAUCGGAUGUGCCCAGAUGGGAUUAGCUAGUAGGUGGGGUAACGGCUCACCUAGGCGACGAUCCCUAGCUGGUCUGAGAGGAUGACCAGCCACACUGGAACUGAGACACGGUCCAGACUCCUACGGGAGGCAGCAGUGGGGAAUAUUGCACAAUGGGCGCAAGCCUGAUGCAGCUAUGCCGCGUGUAUGAAGAAGGCCUUCGGGUUGUAAAGUACUUUCAGCGGGGAGGAAGGGAGUAAAGUUAAUACCUUUGCUCAUUGACGUUACCCGAAGAAGAAGCACCGGCUAACUCCGUG
rnacentral:rRNA from 1 species